UUGACUUAUUUAAAGUUUAUCUCAGAGAUACAUUAAAACAAGAGUUUAGUAGUCCUUCGGCGGGGUGCCGGGUAGCUACAAGGUAGCUCCAGGGCACGUCCGCCGAGGCAACAGAGGUAUGUUCACAUGGUUUAGGGAGUUUUACAACUCGAUAAUGAUCCCUCCGCUGGUUCACCAACGGAGA
rnacentral:misc_RNA from 1 species